GUGGGGAAUUUUGGACAAUGGGCGCAAGCCUGAUCCAGCAAUGCCGCGUGUGUGAAGAAGGCCUUCGGGUUGUAAAGCACUUUUGUCCGGAAAGAAAUCUCCUGGGUUAAUACCUCGGGGGGAUGACGGUACCGGAAGAAUAAGCACCGGCUAACUACGUGCCAGCAGCCGCGGUAAUACGUAGGGUGCGAGCGUUAAUCGGAAUUACUGGGCGUAAAGCGUGCGCAGGCGGCUCUGCAAGACAGAUGUGAAAGCCCCGGGCUCAACCUGGGAACUGCAUUUGUGACUGCAAGGCUAGAGUGCGUCAGAGGGAGGUGGAAUUCCGCGUGUAGCAGUGAAAUGCGUAGAGAUGCGGAGGAACACCGAUGGCGAAGGCAGCCUCCUGGGAUGACACUGACGCUCAUGCACGAAAGCGUGGGGAGCAAACAGGAUUAGAAACCCGGGUAGUCC
rnacentral:rRNA from 1 species